rnacentral:rRNA from 1 species
CACGCCGUAAACGAUGAGUGUUAGAUGUUGCGGGCUUUGACUCCUGCAGCGUCGUAGCUAACGCGUUAAACACUCCGCCUGGGAAGUACGGUCGCAAGACUAAAACUCAAAGGAAUUGACGGGGGCCCGCACAAGCGGUGGAUUAUGUGGUUUAAUUCGACGCAACGCGAAGAACCUUACCUGGGCUAGAAAGUAUAGGAACCUGGUAGAAAUAUCGGGGUGCUCUUCGGAGAAUCUAUGGUUAGGUGC